rnacentral:lncRNA from 1 species
AAAAACUCAGGGGAGAGAUUUAAAAGGAGAAGGUGGCCAAAUGGUAGGAUCGUAAAAACAGUCUAUUCGCUGUGUUUCGGUGUUUCCUGAAAACCUCUCUUUCUUCUCCUCUUGUUGACAAGUCUUCAUCAUAUUAUUUUUUGAUCCAAAAAGGCAAAAAAGGAGGCACAGCAAGAGAGAGCGAUAAGAGGAAUCAGAGUUCCUGAACAGGAACAACGAUUCCUCAAAACACACGUCUUCUUCGUUUCUCAGGUUGGUUUCUCUUUUCAUUGCCCUUUCAUUCAUUGCAAUGCCAAUGCAUGCCCUUGCAUGCAAAAAAUAAAACUUUCUAUCAAAUUAUUUAUUCCUUGUUUUGUGGGUGGAACAAUUAUGGGGUUCCAAAUAAGAUGUUAAAUUUGUAUUGCAUCUUUUUCGUAUUGCAACUACUUUAUUUGUGCUCUCGAUUGAGACUUUUUAAUUUCUGCUCAUUUCCUAAUUAAUGUACAUUUUCUUCUCCCGUAAUAGUUACUACCUUAUUUGAUAGGGACGUGACGCCAUUCUUUUCUUUCUGAUUGGUCAUGAGAUAUUUCGUGAUACGGGUGUUCUCUCGGUUUAAGCUCUUAGCCAAUUAUGAAUAGUGGAUCUUUUCUUUUGAUGAAAAUCUCCCCAUUUUCUUGUUCUUUUAGGAGGGUUCUUUUGCUUUUCUUCGUUAGAAUUAGGCUUUAACUUAAUGGUCCUGUUGCUCGAGAUACAUGUUUCUGUCAUUAAAAAAUUUUGAUGUUGUUUAUUUUUAAUUUCAGGAUUUCUUCAGGGUGGAGUUUGAUUAAAUGUGCAGACUGAUGAUAUUUCAACACAACAACUCGUCUUAGAGCUAGAAAUUUCUUUCCUUUUUUCGGCUAAGACGGGAGGCGAAAGCAUCCAUGAGGCGAUAGCCAGUUGCUAGCUCUGUUAUGCAUUUGAUUUAGAAGGUAAUGUACUUGAUGCGAAAAUGAAUUUCAAUUACAGAUCUUUAGAUUAUUCAAAACUUAACAUUGUACAUAUGUCUCAUUUUUUUUUUAUGUAUUUUUCUUUCUUCUUGGGACCAAUGGCAUGGCAGGUUCGUCAUCUCUCC